UACGGGGGGGGCAAGCGUUGUUCGGAAUUACUGGGCGUAAAGGGCGCGUAGGCGGCCUUCUAAGUCGGACGUGAAAUCCCUCGGCUUAACCGAGGAACUGCGUCUGAUACUGGAAAGCUUGAAUCCGGGAGAGGGAUGUGGAAUUCCAGGUGUAGCGGUGAAAUGCGUAGAUAUCUGGAGGAACACCGGUGGCGAAGGCGGCAUCCUGGACCGGCAUUGACGCUGAGGCGCGAAAGCUAGGGGAGCAAACAGG
rnacentral:rRNA from 1 species